UACGUAGGGUCCGAGCGUUGUCCGGAAUUACUGGGCGUAAAGAGCUCGUAGGUGGUUUGUCGCGUUGUUCGUGAAAACUCACAGCUCAACUGUGGGCGUGCGGGCGAUACGGGCAGACUAGAGUACUGCAGGGGAGACUGGAAUUCCUGGUGUAGCGGUGGAAUGCGCAGAUAUCAGGAGGAACACCGGUGGCGAAGGCGGUUCUCUGGGCAUGAUCUGACGCUGAGGAGCGAAAGUGUGGGGAGCGAACAGG
rnacentral:rRNA from 1 species